rnacentral:rRNA from 1 species
GACGAACGCUGGCGGCGUGCCUAAUACAUGCAAGUCGAACGAGUGGCGGACGGGUGAGUAACACGUGGGAACCUACCCAUCAGCGGGGGAUACCACUUGGAAACAGGUGCUAAUACCGCAUAUUGAUGGAUGGACCCGCGGUGCAUGAGCUAGUUGGUGAGGUAACGGCUUACAUAGGCGACGAUCCCUAGCUGGUCUGAGAGGAGGAUCAGACACACUGGGACUGAGACACGGCCCAGACUCCUACGGGAGGCAGCAGUGGGGAAUAUUGCACAAUGGGCGCAAGCCUGAUGCAGCCAUGCCGCGUGUAUGAAGAAGGCCUUCGGGUUGUAAAGUACUUUCAGUCGGGAGGCGUUACCGACAGAAGAAGCACCGGCUAACUCCGUGCCAGCAGCCGCGGUAAUUC